AUGAUUCUCCAUUCAGUUAUUCUGCUCUCUGCUUUAGCAUAUGCCAGUAAUGGAGAUACUAUUACACCAGACAAAAUGGAGGAGUUUGCUGAUGAGGAUUCAGAUCUUACUUUAUCCUGCAGUUAUUCCUCUGCCUGGAAUUUACUUUGGUACCGUCAGUAUCCUGGAUCAGCACUUGAAUAUCUUGUGCUUACUGUAGAUACUGUAACAGAAGCUAGAACGUCUGAUGUAGAUGCCAGAUUUGCUACUAAAACACGAAAAGAAAGUGGAAACCGUGUGGAUCUGAAGAUCUCCUCUGCUGCAGUAUCAGAAUUUGCUGUGUAUUACUGUGCUCUGAAAGCCACAGUGACUGAAAACACACAAGCAUUGAACAAAAACCUCACUGUGAAAGGAGACAUUGGUCUACUAUGGAAAUGA